CAGUAGCCACGGUAAUACAGAGGGUGCGAGCGUUAAUCGGAUUUACUGGGCGUAAAGCGUGCGUAGGCGGCUUCUUAAGUCGGAUGUGAAAUCUCUGAGCUUAACUUAGGAAUUGCAUUCGAUACUGGGAAGCUAGAGUAUGGGAGAGGAUGGUAGAAUUCCAGGUGUAGCGGUGAAAUGCGUAGAGAUCUGGAGGAAUACCGAUGGCGAAGGCAGCCAUCUGGCCUAAUACUGACGCUGAGGUACGAAAGCAUGGGGAGCAAACAGGAUUAGAUACCCCCGUAGUCCCUGUCUCUUAUAC
rnacentral:rRNA from 1 species